UACGUAGGGGGCAAGCGUUGUCCGGAAUUACUGGGCGUAAAGGGCGCGUAGGCGGUCUUGUAAGUCAGAUGUGAAAGUCCAGGGCUCAACCGUGGAAUUGCAUUUGAAACUAUAAGACUUGAGUGCAGGAGAGGAGAGCGGAAUUCCUAGUGUAGCGGUGAAAUGCGUAGAGAUUAGGAAGAACACCAGUGGCGAAGGCGGCUCUCUGGACUGUAACUGACGCUGAGGCGCGAAAGCGUGGGGAGCGAACAGGAUUAGAUACCCUGGUAGUCCACGCCGUAAACGAUGAGUGCUAGGUGUUGGGUGUCAAAGCUCAGUGCCGCAGCUAACGCAUUAAGCACUCCGCCUGGGGAGUACGACCGCAAGGUUGAA
rnacentral:rRNA from 1 species